GCUGGCUUCCGGCCCGCCGAGCCGGAUGAGGCAGGGGCCGGCGACUGCCUUGCGGGCCAUGGGGCCGCGGCCGGGUUAGGGCGCGGCGAUGUCGGGCUACGCGCGGCGGCAGGGCGCGCCCCCUCUAUCGCGGACGCGGAGCCUUGUGGUUCCCGACGCUCCUGCGUUCUAUGAGCGCCGGUCUUGUCUCCCCCAGCUAGACUGUGAGCGCCCCCAUGGCGGGGACCUGCACCCCCAUCUCUUCGGCUUUCGGCCGACGUUUAUGUGCUAUGUGCCCAGCCCGGUGCUGGCUUCGGUAGGAGACACAGGUUUUGGCUAUGGAAAGGGGAAAUGUACUAACCAAGGUCCUUCGGGAGCCCCUGAGACGCGCUUUGGAGGUGACAAACUUGAAGACCUUGAAGAAGCCAAUCCAUUCUCCUUCAAAGAGUUUUUGAAAACCAAGAACCUCAGCCUGUCAAAAGAAGACACGACCACCAGCCGAAUUUACCCAAAGGAAGCCUCAAGGCACCCACUGGGACUAGAGCACAGCUCCCCUGCCUCCCAGCUCAUGGGAUAUGGCCUGGAAUCUCAGCAGCCAUUUUUUGAAGACCCAACAAGAGCCAGCAACCUAGAGGAGGAUGAAGAUGAUGGAUGGAAUAUAACCUACUUGCCAUCUGCCGUGGAUCAGACUCAUUCCUCUAGAGACACACAGGACUCACCGCCCUGUGACACCUACCUUUCCUUUUUCUCCAACUCGUCAGAGCUGGCAUGUCCCGAGUCUUUGCCCCCAUGGACGCUGAGUGACACCGACUCCAGGAUCUCCCCAGCGUCUCCAGCUGGGAGUCCUAAUGCAGACUUUGCAGCUCAUGAAGAAUCCCUAGGGGACAGACACCUGCGGACGCUGCAGAUAAGUUAUGAAGCAGUAAGUGAGGGCAGUGUGGCACCCAACACAGCUGAGCUGUGUUGUGGAGAGGAGCUGCAGUCAUCUACUUCCUGGGUGGCCUGGGCUCAAUGCCACGGACAAGGCAGUUAGUCAUAUAAUGGCUUGAUGUAGAAUUGCCCUGAAGAGGGGUCUAAAGAUAGAGAUAAUAGAUAGCUCAGUGGUAAUUUUCUCCUAGCACUUGGAAAGUCCUGGGUUAGAUCCUGAAUGCUGAAAAAUAAGAGAGAAAAAGGAAUUUCUCUAUGGAGAGCUCUUCCUUGGGUUGGUUUUGGCUGUGCAGUUAGUAUAGCAGACUGAGAAGUACUGUGGUGAGGUCACAGGCAGGCAGACACGAGCUAGCAUGAAGAAAUGGUCUAUUGGAAGUGUUGGCUAAGAGUCAUCUUGCUGAAUGCCCCACAUGAUGGAAGGCCUUAAAACCAUAAGUCACCUAGAAAAAGUAAAGUGUGUGGCCACAGGUCAUCUUCUCCUCCUCCAUCACUUGAGGGUGAUGCCAUUUGACCUGAGCUGUUUAUGUUCCAGAGCUGGGCAUGGAAGUACGCAACUGUCAUCCCAGCGCUGGAAGGUGAAGGCAGGAGGAAGAGACGUGCAAGGCCAUUCUUGGCUACAUGGGAACAAGUAAAGGGCAAACUAGGUUGCAGGAGAUGCUGUCUCAAAAAGACAUUUCAUGGACACAUGGGAUGCAUCUUCAUACCUCUUGGCCCGCCCCGAAUGCAUAAGGCUCCACCUCCAGACCCACAAAAGAGAAUAUUUCAGAACAGAAGCAUGUUCGCUUGUGAGGGAGACAUACCGGGUGUCUAAUGAGGACUUUUUUUUUUUCUACAGCUGAAAGAUGAAAACUCUAAGCUCAGAAGAAAGCUAAAUGAGGUUCAGAGCUUCUCUGAAACUCAAACAGAAAUAAACGGGCUGUAAAAGCAGAAAAUCAUGUCUUGAAGCUGAAACAGGAAAUAAAUUUGCUUCAGGUAAGUAAAGAGAAAGGUUUGGCUGUCAUACAUGUGAGUUCAGGGAGGGAGAAAAUAGUGUAAGCCAAGCACAGCGGUCGGAGCAGUCAGGAGGCUGAGGAAAAGGAUAGUUGUACAUUUAAGGCCAGCCUGGGCUACAGAGGCAAGAAGCACCUGUUUUGAACAGGCCAGGGCCAGGCUGGUCCCCGUGUCCAGAUGUGUGCCCGUCGUGAUGCAGAGGCUGAAUUGCCUCGGGAGCACUAACUUCGCCCUUCUCUCUAGGCCCAGCUCUCAAACUUGAGGCGAGAAAAUGAAGCCCUGCGGUCAGGCCAGGGUGCCAGCCUUUCUGUAGUGAAGCAGAACACCGACGUGGCCUUGCAGAACCUCCACCUUGUCAUGAACAGUGCACACGCAUCCAUAAAGCAGCUGGUGUCUGGGGCAGACACACUGAACCUUGUUGCUGAAAUCCUCAAGUCUAUCGACAGAAUUAGUGAAGUUAAAGAUGAGGUGGACUCUUGAGACGCUCUACCUGCCACCGGGUCCCGUCACCUCUGCACCGAAGGCACCACACAUCUUCCGAAUGUGUUCCUGUCUAUGCAGUCCUCAUCAAAGCAUUUCACGGCCUAAUCAUGUGACUGGCCAUCUGCAGUACGGGGCUCCUUUCCACCAGUUGAACCUAACAGUUUACAUGAAGUCCCACUGUUCGAUAGACUCACUGAUUUACUGGAAGACACUUUUAUAAAACCACUAAAGCUGAAACGACAGUUUUGUAACAAGCUUCUUUCACCACCCUCUCUAGGACGAGGUCGGGCUCAGCCUCAGUGUUGUCAAGUGGAACACGAAGUGAGCCAGUGUGUAAGUGAGCAGCCUGUACAGAGACGCGUGCCUCACUGAGGCAGCACCGCUUGGUACGUGCUGCCGUCCUCCCACCAGGACCAUAGGACCAAGGUCACACACUGUGCACAGUGCAAAGCUUCAUACACCCUCUACUGUGUGCUGUCAGCUUUGGAAAGCCAUUUGGGGCUGUCGAUUUUGAUGCACGUUAAUGUGUUUGUGUGCCUUUUGUAUAGUGCAAUUCAGACUGGAAUUAAAGCACACACCCACCUGGGGGGUCAGCACCAGCUCUUUGGGCUGGCUGGCUGGUUUUUGAAGGACAGGCAAGACAUAAGCAGCUCCCUGUGCUGUGCUGAGGGGUCAAGGUUUGGGGGCCACUUUCCUAUAGGUUGUUUUUUUGUUUUUUUUUUUUAAUUUAUUUUCCCUUUUCCCCUCCUGUUGAGAUCAACAGCUUUCUGAUCUAAAUAAAUCUUAAAGAUCAUUUA